AUUGAACGCUGGCGGCAUGCCUUACACAUACAAGUCGAACGGCAGCGGGGACUUCGGUCCGCCGGCGAGUGGCGAACGGGUGAGUAAUGUAUCGGAACGUACCAUUCAGUGGGGGAUAACUAUCCGAAAGGAUAGCUAAUACCGCAUAUUCUGUGAGCAGGAAAGCAGGGGAUCGCAAGACCUUGCGCUGAUUGAGCGGCCGAUAUCAGAUUAGCUAGUUGGUGAGGUAACGGCUCACCAAGGCUACGAUCUGUAGCGGGUCUGAGAGGAUGAUCCGCCACACUGGGACUGAGACACGGCCCAGACUCCUACGGGAGGCAGCAGUGGGGAAUUUUGGACAAUGGGCGCAAGCCUGAUCCAGCCAUGCCGCGUGAGUGAAGAAGGCCUUCGGGUUGUAAAGCUCUUUCGGCCGGGAAGAAAUCGCAUCAGCUAAUACCUGGUGUGGAUGACGGUACCGGAAUAAGAAGCACCGGCUAACUACGUGCCAGCAGCCGCUGUAA
rnacentral:rRNA from 1 species